CAGCAGCCACGGGAAUACGUAGGGUGCAAGCGUUAAUCGGAAUUACUGGGCGUAAAGCGUGCGCAGGCGGUUCGUUAAGACAGAUGUGAAAUCCCCGGGCUUAACCUGGGAACUGCACUUGUGACUGGCGGGCUAGAGUAUGGCAGAGGGGGGUAGAAUUCCACGUGUAGCAGUGAAAUGCGUAGAGAUAUGGAGGAAUACCGAUGGCGAAGGCAGCCCCCUGGGCCAAUACUGACGCUCAUGCACGAAAGCGUGGGGAGCAAACAGGAUUAGAUACCCCGGUAGUCCCUGUCUCUUAUAA
rnacentral:rRNA from 1 species